GACAGAGGGUGCAAACGUUGUUCGGAAUUACUGGGCGUAAAGCGUGUGUAGGCGGUGCGAUAAGCCAGGCGUGAAAGCCCGGGGCUCAACCCCGGAAGUGCGCACGGAACUGUCGCGCUAGAGUCUUGGAGAGGUUGGCGGAAUUCCAGGUGUAGAGGUGAAAUUCGUAGAUAUCUGGAAGAACACCGGCGGCGAAGGCGGCCAACUGGACAAAGACUGACGCUGAGACACGAAAGCGUGGGGAGCAAACAGGAUUAGAUACCCUGGUAGUCCACGCCGUAAACGAUGAGUGCUGGGUGUUGCGAGGAUUGACCCUCGCAGCGCCGGAGCUAACGCGUUAAGCACUCCGCCUGGGAAGUACGGCCGCAAGGCUA
rnacentral:rRNA from 1 species